rnacentral:piRNA from 1 species
UCCAAGUGGCAGUUCCCGAUUGGUUGGCGUU